rnacentral:rRNA from 1 species
AUUUUUAUAAGUAAAAUCUGCUCCAUGUUAAUAAAUAGCCGCAGAAUUUUAACUGUGCUAAGGUAGCAUAAUCAUUUACCUUUUAAUUAAAGGUUUGCAUGAAUGAUUAUACAAUUAAAUUAUUUUUUUAUGAAUAUAUAUCUAAUUUAAACUAAAAAUAAAAAUGUUUUUAUAAAUAAAAAAGACGAUAAGACCCUAUUGAACUUUACCGUCGUUUAGCUGGGGAAGCUAAUUAAAUACAAUUUUAAUUUUUUUUUAAAAAAAAAUUUCUAAUAAAAUUAUACUAAACAAGUUACCAUAGGGAUAACAGCGUAAUAUAAUUUUAAAGCUCAUAUUAAAAAUUAAGUUUACGACCUCGAUGUUGAAUUAGAAUACCUUUGAAGCGCAAUAGCCUCAAAAGAAGGUCUGU